rnacentral:misc_RNA from 1 species
GCCAGAUAUUGAUGGCCUGUUAGGAUUUAGGGACAAUUUCUUGUUGCUUUUGGGAUGUUCCCAAGUUUAAUUCCACAAAAUGUUCCCGGCGAUCUGUAAAAGCACAUUGGAUUGCAGCAGUAGAAGAAUCAGAUUUAGCAUCAAACUACCGUUGAGUUAUAGGAUUCUUACAAGUCAUUUUUUAGUUUGUUUAAUAUGUUAUAGUAAUUAGGGUGCUAAAUACAAGAGUGUCUUUUGGGAAAUAUUACUUUGAUCGAAUUGGGGUCACAGAUUAAUUAUGAUUAUGUACGAUAUACCGAAAGCCAUUUCUUAAAACAAAAAUGACCUAACUGUUAGAGUCAUGCCUAGAGAUCCCUGUUUUAUGAUAAGCGCCUUAGCAUAUAAUUUUGUCCAUAUGUCGAAGUAAACUCUUCUUUUCAAUGAAAAAAAGCUACUUGACAUUAUACUUAUUUUAUUACUGAUUUAAUUGUAGCAGAUGGAAAAAAAAAAUCUAGGCU